GUACAUGUGUGCAUAUUCCUACAGGCCACAUACACAGGCGGGAAAGAGUCAUCUGUUCUGUCAAUCGUCCAAUCUCUCAAUCGUUCUACUGGUACAUCUGACAUACGACAUAUACUCGUAAUACGUAAAGACUGAACACGAAACUACAGGUCCGCACAUUUCACACGACACACGACCCCAUCAAUUUAAGCGACUAACACAAUUCAAGUGUAGAUCUGGUGCACACAAAAUAGUUUAGUAACAGUCAACACAAAAAACUACAGGUAAACACAUUUCCUCCUGAUAUCGGAUCGGGUUAGGGGUCUGGGGUCAGGAUCUUCGAAGUGAGCGUAUCUUGAACGUAUCUCUUCAAUAGUAUCAGCAGAGCUCGAGGUGCUUGUGCUCCUACUGUUCGAAAGCAUGUCGGCAUAUCUCUAGUUCAAAGGAAAUAAAGGACAAUGAAGUUAAUAUAUUUUGAUAAACUUGAGAAUUAUAUAUUUUUAUACAAAAUGAAA